UGGGGAAUAUUGCUCAAUGGGCGCAAGCCUGAAGCAGCGACGCCGCGGGAGGGAUGAAGGCCUUCGGGUUGUAAACCUCUUUCAGCGCCGAAGAAGCGAAAGUGACGGUAGGCGCAGAAGAAGCACCGGCUAACUACGUGCCAGCAGCCGCGGUAAUACGUAGGGUGCAAGCGUUGUCCGGAAUCAUUGGGCGUAAAGAGCUCGUAGGCGGUCUGUCGCGUCUGCUGUGAAAACCUGGGGCUUAACCCCGGGCCUGCAGUGGGUACGGGCAGACUAGAGUGCGGUAGGGGAGACUGGAAUUCCUGGUGUAGCGGUGAAAUGCGCAGAUAUCAGGAGGAACACCGGUGGCGAAGGCGGGUCUCUGGGCCGUAACUGACGCUGAGGAGCGAAAGCAUGGGUAGCGAACAGG
rnacentral:rRNA from 1 species